UGGGGAAUAUUGGACAAUGGGGGGAACCCUGAUCCAGCCAUGCCGCGUGUGUGAAGAAGGCCUUAUGGUUGUAAAGCACUUUAAGCGAGGAGGAGGGUACUGGUAUUAAUACUACCAGCUACUGGACGUUACUCGCAGAAUAAGCACCGGCUAACUCUGUUCCAGCAGCCGCGGUCAUACAGAGGGUGCGAGCGUUAAUCGGAUUUACUGGGCGUAAAGCGCGCGUAGGUGGUUCGUUAAGUUGAAUGUGAAAGCCCCGGGCUCAACCUGGGAACUGCAUCAAAAACUGGCGGGCGAGAGUAGGGCAGAGGGUGGUGGAAUUUCCUGUGUAGCGGUGAAAAGCGUAGAUAUAGGAAGGAACACCAGUGGCGAAGGCGACCACCUGGGAUCAUACUGACACUGAGGUGCGAAAGCGUGGGGAGCAAACAGG
rnacentral:rRNA from 1 species